rnacentral:rRNA from 1 species
UACGAGUGCCUCAAGCGUUAUCCGGAAUUAUUGGGCGUAAAGGUUGUGUAGGUGGUUGUGUUAGUCUUUUGUUAAAUUCUUCGGCUUAACCGGGGGCAUGCAAGGGAAACGGCACGACUAGAGGAUGCGAGGGGUCUGUGGAAUUCAUAGUGUAGCGGUAAAAUGCGUUGAUAUUAUGGAGACCACCAAAAGCGAAGGCAGCAGACGGAGCACUCCUGACACUGAAACAAGAAAGCGUGGGUCGCGAAUGGG